rnacentral:rRNA from 1 species
GGUUAAGCGACUAAGCGUACACGGUGGAUGCCCUGGCAGUCAGAGGCGAUGAAGGACGUGCUAAUCUGCGAAAAGCGCCGGCGAGGUGAUAUGAACCCUUGACCCGGCGAUGUCCGAAUGGGGAAACCCAGUGUGAUUCGUCACACUAUCGUUAACUGAAUACAUAGGUUAACGAGGCGAACCGGGGGAACUGAAACAUCUAAGUACCCCGAGGAAAAGAAAUCAACCGAGAUUCCCCCAGUAGCGGCGAGCGAACGGGGAGCAGCCCAGAGUCUGAAUCAGCUUGUGUGUUAGUGGAAGCGUCUGGAAAGUCGCACGGUACAGGGUGAAAGUCCCGUACACGAAAGCACACAGGCUGUGAACUCGAAGAGUAGGGCGGGACACGUGGUAUCCUGUCUGAAUAUGGGGGGACCAUCCUCCAAGGCUAAAUACUCCUGACUGACCGAUAGUGAACCAGUACCGUGAGGGAAAGGCGAAAAGAACCCCGGCGAGGGGAGUGAAAAAGAACCUGAAACCGUGUACGUACAAGCAGUGGGAGCACCUUCGGGUGUGACUGCGUACCUUUUGUAUAAUGGGUCAGCGACUUAUAUUCUGUAGCAAGGUUAACCGUAUAGGGGAGCCGAAGGGAAACCGAGUCUUAACUGGGCGUUAAGUUGCAGGGUAUAGACCCGAAACCCGGUGAUCUAGCCAUGGGCAGGUUGAAGGUUGGGUAACACUAACUGGAGGACCGAACCGACUAAUGUUGAAAAAUUAGCGGAUGACCUGUGGCUGGGGGUGAAAGGCCAAUCAAACCGGGAGAUAGCUGGUUCUCCCCGAAAGCUAUUUAGGUAGCGCCUCGUGAACUCAUCUUCGGGGGUAGAGCACUGUUUCGGCUAGGGGGCCAUCCCGGCUUACCAACCCGAUGCAAACUACGAAUACCGAAGAAUGUUAUCACGGGAGACACACGGCGGGUGCUAACGUCCGUCGUGAAGAGGGAAACAACCCAGACCGCCAGCUAAGGUCCCAAAGUCAUGGUUAAGUGGGAAACGAUGUGGGAAGGCCCAGACAGCCAGGAUGUUGGCUUAGAAGCAGCCAUCAUUUAAAGAAAGCGUAAUAGCUCACUGGUCGAGUCGGCCUGCGCGGAAGAUGUAACGGGGCUAAACCAUGCACCGAAGCUGCGGCAGCGACGCUUAUGCGUUGUUGGGUAGGGGAGCGUUCUGUAAGCCGUUGAAGGUGGCCUGUGAGGGUUGCUGGAGGUAUCAGAAGUGCGAAUGCUGACAUAAGUAACGAUAAAGCGGGUGAAAAGCCCGCUCGCCGGAAGACCAAGGGUUCCUGUCCAACGUUAAUCGGGGCAGGGUGAGUCGACCCCUAAGGCGAGGCCGAAAGGCGUAGUCGAUGGGAAACAGGUUAAUAUUCCUGUACUUGGUGUUACUGCGAAGGGGGGACGGAGAAGGCUAUGUUAGCCGGGCGACGGUUGUCCCGGUUUAAGCAUGUAGGCGGAGGUUCCAGGUAAAUCCGGUACCUUUUAACGCUGAGGUGUGAUGACGAGGCACUACGGUGCUGAAGUAACAAAUGCCCUGCUUCCAGGAAAAGCCUCUAAGCAUCAGGUAACACGAAAUCGUACCCCAAACCGACACAGGUGGUCAGGUAGAGAAUACCAAGGCGCUUGAGAGAACUCGGGUGAAGGAACUAGGCAAAAUGGUGCCGUAACUUCGGGAGAAGGCACGCUGAUAUGUAGGUGAAGCCCCUGCGGGUGGAGCUGAAAUCAGUCGAAGAUACCAGCUGGCUGCAACUGUUUAUUAAAAACACAGCACUGUGCAAACACGAAAGUGGACGUAUACGGUGUGACGCCUGCCCGGUGCCGGAAGGUUAAUUGAUGGGGUUAGCGGCAACGCGAAGCUCUUGAUCGAAGCCCCGGUAAACGGCGGCCGUAACUAUAACGGUCCUAAGGUAGCGAAAUUCCUUGUCGGGUAAGUUCCGACCUGCACGAAUGGCGUAAUGAUGGCCAGGCUGUCUCCACCCGAGACUCAGUGAAAUUGAACUCGCUGUGAAGAUGCAGUGUACCCGCGGCAAGACGGAAAGACCCCGUGAACCUUUACUAUAGCUUGACACUGAACACUGGUCCUUGAUGUGUAGGAUAGGUGGGAGGCUUUGAAGCGUGGACGCCAGUCUGCGUGGAGCCG